rnacentral:rRNA from 1 species
GAUGAACGUUGGCGGCGUGCCUAACACAUGCAAGUCGAACGCUGGUAGCAAUAUCAGAGUGGCGCACGGGUGAGUAACACGUAGCUUACCUACCUCAAAGCGCGGGAUAACGUUCCGAAAGGAAUGCUAAUACCGCAUAAGCUCCCGGUCUGUAGAGGGCUGAGAGAAAAGGGGCAACUCACUUUGAGAUGGGGCUGCGGCCCAUCAGCUGGUUGGUGAGGAACGGCUUACCAAGGCAACGACGGGUAGGGGACCUGAGAGGGU